GCUGCCAUGGAAUUGUGAGUUUGUGACUAUACAUUCUUGUGUCUUGAAGAUGUAUUGUCUCUGUAUGUGAAUGUCAAUAUCCAGGCAUGUAAGCAAGUCCUAACUUUUAUUCACAUAUUUAUCUAUGAAAUGCAUGCAAGCAAAUCACAUCUUAUAGACAAAUGCCCCCUUAUAGGUAAAUGUGAUGAUUCAUAAAUUAACCGGUUGGAGACAUGUAGAUAGUCAGGUGUACUGAUAACUGGAGUUUAGUGCUCAAAAUCCUUCUACCUUUUCUACUGACUGUAUUUUCUUGACGUCUUUAAGAGAAGAAUGAGUACUAUUAGUCAUUCUCUAUCAUGUAUAAUAGUACAAUACUGGAGAUGUGAAUGGAUAAUGUUCAUUUAGUAUAGUAUUAGUAGAUGAUGUUUUUUUUCUUCAGUCAACUCGUGUAUUUCCUGAUAUGUUCAGUCUAUUCCCAAAUUAGUUCGUAAAGUAGCCUUAACAAUUAUACAGUCUCUUUGUGUAUUAGUACUCUGUUUUCUUUGGUUUUUGGUCAGCUGGAAGAAUCAGUUUGUCAUAACAUGUGAAAAUGAUUUUAUUUACUUACGCUGUUGUUUUUAUCAGUUAGCAAAGAUGUUUGUCAAAUGUAGUAAGUUAGGCAUCGCAGUGAAUCUUAACAAAGGGACUUCUGGUGAGGCCUACAAGGCUGGAAGCACUGUAUGUAAGGUGGUACCCUCUGAUGGGUAUUCAUUUGUCAACUAAUACAUGACCACACUAGAGAAGCACACGCCGCGCACACACAAGGAUCCUAUCAGGUUCUAAAUAUGUACGUGGAUGUGGAUGAUCUUUAAAUACCUGGAUGAUUAUUCCACAUAAACAAAGUCAUAUUGUCAUUUUUAACACAAGAACAAAGCAGUGUCCCAUGACACAAAUAGCUACUGCAUGUGUUGAGUAGAAAAUUCAUUCAUUAGUUAUGGGGCAUCAAGAAGAGCAAACACCAAUGCGGUGAGACAUACCUGUUCCAUAUAAACAUGCGGAAAGUUGUAAAUCCUUUCACCUUGGCGAGGCACUGUGAUCAACGGCCUAGCCCAAGCAUGCCAUAGCUCCUUGUAUAAUGCGUCGCUAGAACUCCCUACACAAAGGAUUCAUUAUGUGAACUAACAUGGCAAGUUUACUUUGUAGCAUGGUAAAUUUAGUUUUAUAGCAUUUUAACCUGACAUAUCGAUAUCUUAUUGCUCUUCAAAGGUAUCUAAAAGUUGUGUUCUCUGCAAACAGAUGGGUGAUGUUAGUCAAUAAAAUACCUAAGAUGUCAGUUUUGUUGCCAAAUAUUGUAAUCCCAGAUUUACAGAGUUCUAGAAUAGAAGAUGAUCUGGUGGUUACCUCUCUAUUAUUUACUCGAAUGACUGCACUUAUAUCUUACGUUCAAACUUUACCCGAUCUUGGUUUAGUUUCCAUCUCCAAUCAGAUUAAUGGUUUGCAGACCAAAGCCAAUGUUUUAUGGAGUUCUUAUUCCUAAUUUAGUUAUACAUUUCAUUUGUAGUUUCUUGGUAGAUAAUAAGCAGUGGCAGAUGAACCAAUAAGUUAUCUGUGCCCAUGCUUUAUUGUAAGCGUUAAAUUUGCUCUCUGGUAUUACUUUCAAUGUGUUAUCCAUACCCAUGCUUUUUGCGGUUAAUUAUCAUGUCUUAUCAACUUAUGCAGAGUCCAUGAUAUCAUACAGUUUGAAGUCAAAAAAAUCAUGAUAUGGGUGAUAUGGAAAAGUCAUUGCCUUCUUUGCUGGAACAUUCCCUGAUUGCCUGGACUUCUUGGGUCAAUCGCUGGACGCCACCCCCGUCUCCUGGACGUCAUGACGCCGCCGAUUUCCUUGACGCCGCGUGCCACCGAUCUUCUAU
rnacentral:lncRNA from 1 species